rnacentral:tRNA from 1 species
GUGGUAGUGGUUCAGGGGUAGAAUUCUCGCCUUCCACGCGGGAGACCCGGGUUUGAUUUCUGGCCGGUGCA